AUUGAACGCUGGCGGCAGGCCUAACACAUGCAAGUCGAACGGUAACAGGAAGAAGCUUGCUUCUUUGCUGACGAGUGGCGGACGGGUGAGUAAUGUCUGGGAAACUGCCUGAUGGAGGGGGAUAACUACUGGAAACGGUAGCUAAUACCGCAUAACGUCGCAAGACCAAAAAGGGGGACCUUCGGGCCUCUUGCCAUCGGAUGUGCCCAGAUGGGAUUAGCUAGUAGGUGGGGUAACGGCUCACCUAGGCGACGAUCCCUAGCUGGUCUGAGAGGAUGACCAGCCACACUGGAACUGAGACACGGUCCAGACUCCUACGGGAGGCAGCAGUGGGGAAUAUUGCACAAUGGGCGCAAGCCUGAUGCAGCCAUACCGCGUGUAUGAAGAAGGCCUUCGGGUUGUAAAGUACUUUCAGCGGGGAGGAAGGGAGUAAAGUUAAUACCUUUGCUCAUUGACGUUACCCGCAGAAGAAGCACCGGCUAACUCCGUG
rnacentral:rRNA from 1 species